GAAAUGCGAUAAGUAAUGUGAAUUGCAGAAUUCAGUGAAUCAUCGAAUCUUUGAACGCACCUUGCGCUCCUUGGUAUUCCUUGGAGCAUGCCUGUUUGAGUAUCAUGAAAUCUUCAAAGUCAAUCUUUUGUUAACUCAAUUGGUUUCUACUUUGGUAUUGGAGGUCUUUGCAGCUUCACACCUGCUCCUCUUUGUUCAUUAGCUGGAUCUCAGUGUUAUGCUUGGUUCCACUCGGCGUGAUAAGUUAUCUAUCGCUGAGGACACUGUAAAAGGUGGCCAAGGUAAAUGCAGAUGAGCCGCUUCUAAUAGUCCAUUGACUUGGACAAUACUUUUAUGAUCUGAUCUCAAAUCAGGUAGGACUACCCGCUGAACUUAAGC
rnacentral:misc_RNA from 1 species